ensembl:lncRNA
CAGGGAGGGACGGGUGUGCAUUACCUCAGCCCACAGCCCACCAUGAAAUUUCUCAGAAAGAUCUUAUCUCCGAACCUGAAGUCUCCCAGUCUUUCCAGAAAGACCUGAACAUUGAAGACCUCUGCGUUGUUUCUAGGCAAGAGGAAGAUUCUUUUUAGCUGGGCUUCUUCGGGAAGUUCAAGAUAUUGAUAGAUUUUCUCUGUGGGUCAUUGACUUUGCCUUGGGAGGAGUUGCCUAACCCCACCUUCAGGGGAUCUUCAGGAAGGGCGUGGGCUCUGGGUAACAGCAGAGACAGUGGCUCAGCGCCUAGUGAGCUGGGACUGGUCUGUGAGUAGGCGCAUCCUCCCAGGGCACCUGCUGAAACGCCGAUGGCAGUGGUAACUCCAGGGUCCUGCUGACAUCCCUCUAUAAGGAGAUGAUUCCUCUUGUCAAAUUAUCAACUUCCUCAAGGAGCAGCAGAUACAAGAAAGACACUUGAUGGAAUUACUAAGUGGAUCUGAACUCUGAGAGGAGAGAGAACAGAUGGAUAUCCCUCACUCAUCACACUCGACACGUGGCCUUGAGGCCACAGUCAGCAUCACAGCAUUAGAACAUCCCCAGGAGAGAGAGAAGAUGUGGAAUAUCAUUCUCACUUUAUCAAAAAGGAAGAUGAAUAAUAAAAAGUUAAUAUGUUUGAAGUUACAUCGUGAAUUUUGGGAAUACAACUGUGCCUCUUGAUUCCCAGUUUAGUAUUCUGAUGCCCGCUGAACGGUUCUUUAUCUCACUGCAAUUGUGAUCUCAAAUUACGUCGGUUUCUUUUAACACAGACUACAUGGGAUACACACAGGAGCAUGUGGCUGCCAAUGAAUAUGGGUCCUCUGGCCUGUCAGAUUAAACAGAAUUGAUGCUUUUGAACUGUGGUGUUGGAGAAGACUCUUGAGAGUCCCUUGGACUGCAUGGAGAUCCAACCAGUCCAUUCUGAAGGAGAUCAGCCCUGGGAUUCCUUUGGAAGGAAUGAUGCUAAAGCUGAAACUCCAGUACUUUGGCUACCUCAUGUGAAGAGUUGACUCACUGGAAAAGACUCUGAUGCUGGGAGAGAUUGGGGGCAGGAGGAGAAGGGGACGACCGAGGAUGAGAUGGCUGGAUGGCAUCACGGACUCGAUGGACGAAUGAAGCACAAGCUGGAAUCAAGAUUGUCAGGAGAAAUAUGAAUAAUCUCAGAUAUGCAGAUGCUGCUGCUGCUAAGUCGCUUCAGUCAUGUCCGACUCUGUGUGACCCCACAAACGGCAGCCUACCAGGCUCUUUUGUCCCUGGGAUUCUCCAGGCAAGAACACUGGAGUACUCCUGUCUGCUCUCACCUGGUGUUCUGCAUGCA